UCCUCGUUAAUAUAGUGGUGUGUAUCCCUGCCUGUUAUGCGGGAGACUGGGGUUUGAUUCCCUGACGGGGAG
rnacentral:tRNA from 1 species